GUCGGUGUGAGACAGUGUGACGGAGUGAGGAGCAGAGCUCAGCAGAGAUGUGUCUCUUCUGAGAGCAGAGAGGGAUCUGUUUCUGAGCAGGGUUGUGUGUGGCUGACCAAGGUUACUGAGCUACUGCAGAACAGAGCAGAGCAAAUCGGGCUUCUUAUAUUUAGCCUUGCGACGUGCGCGCUACGGAUUAUGUCUUGGGCGUCUCGGGUUUCGCCUUCAGUACGUUUGUGGGUGUGGAGGGGGUCCGGUAACUGGUGGAAGGCCUCUCUUCAGGAAAAGGCUGUUUACGGUGACAUAGUCGUUUCCCAUUCUGGAAGGCUAUUUGGAGGGUACAGAUAGUAAGAAAAACAGUCGCAGAGGACAUAGCAGUGUUAGACUACAGCUUCUAAUCUGAUACAAGUAGAGAACACUAACUGGGUUUUUGCAAACCAUUGGAGGGACCUCAUUUUAGUGRGGAGGCACAUUGAGGUCYUAGUUCAAAAGGAGUCAUGGAUACACUGGCUUUAGAGGCGAAGGCAACUGGGCAAGAAAAGAAAAGUUCAGCCCCAAGACCAAGACCUAAACCACCCAAAAAGGCCAAAAGGAUUGUUUACUUUGAGGUAGAAAUCGUGGAUGC